GGUUCUGUUUCCUAUAACUGAUCUGCAACAUUUUGGGAAAAGACAGCUCCACCUUAAGGUUUUUCCGGGAUAUGUAGGGAUCUUUAUUAUUCGAAACGUGGCGUUUAUUCCAGCACUCAGGAGGCAGGUGUGGCUCUGAGCCUAAUCUACUGAGAUUUCAGGCCAAAUAGGCCUACAUUGGAAAACUGGGCUGGAGAGAUGACUCAGCAGAUAAGAGAACUGCUCUUCCAGAGGUCCAGAGUUCAAAUCCACCACACGGUGGCUCACAACCAACUUUAUUGGGAUCUGUUGCCCUCUUCUGGUGUGUCUGAAGACAGCUACAGUGUACUCAUAAGUAAAUCUCUUAAAAAAAAUGGGAAGAUGAGGUCCAUAAUGUGAAAUUCACAAAGAACCAAUAAGCAAUUAAAAUUUUUUUUUUGUUCUUUUUUUCGGAGCUGGGGACCGAACCCAGGGCCUUGCGCUUCCUAGCUGUUCAGGUGAAGAUUGUGGUGAGGAAGGAGACCAGAAGAUGGGCCGAUGAGGAGACGAAGCAGGGCCUGUGUGCACUUGGGCGGUUCUUGGAAGAGUGAGGAGACAGCCUUUCAGCCUCUGCUCAUUAACCUAAG
ensembl:lncRNA